rnacentral:RNase_P_RNA from 1 species
ACUGCAGGCUGUGCUACCGUGGCGCUGAUAGGCGUUAAGGAAAGUCCGGACAGCACAGAGCAACGUACCGGUUAAUAGCCGGCUUUCCCGUUUUCCGGGAUACGAGAUAGUGCCACAGAAAAUAACCGCCAAUUAUUGACAUAGGAAUAUAUCAAUAAUUGGUAAGGGUGAAAAUGCAGGGUAAGAGCCUGCGUCUUGUUGUGGUAACACAAUUGGAGGGUAAACCUUGCGUGCUGAAAUGCCAUGUAUAGGGCUGUUUGAGGGCUGCUCGUCCGAUGGUCCAGGGUAGGCAGAUAGAUCCGGUUAGUAAUAACCGGGCCAGAUAAAUGGUAGCUAUGUCCGAAAGGAUGAAACAGAAUCCGGCUUACAGGCUUGCAGUUUUU